rnacentral:rRNA from 1 species
UUAUGGCUCAGGAUGAACGCUGGCGGCGUGCUUAACACAUGCAAGUCGAACGGAGUUUUAACGGAAGUUUCGGAUGGAAGUUAAGAACUUAGUGGCGGACGGGUGAGUAACGCGUGGGUAACCUGCCUCAUACAGGGGGAUAACAGUUAGAAAUGACUGCUAACACCGCAUAAUAUAGUGAAACCGCAUGAUUUUGCUAUCAAAUAUUUAUAGGUAUGAGAUGGGCCCGCGUCUGAUUAGCUAGUUGGUGGGGUAAAAGCCUACCAAGGCGACGAUCAGUAGCCGGCUUGAGAGAGUGACCGGCCACAUUGGGACUGAGACACGGCCCAAACUCCUACGGGAGGCAGCAGUGGGGAAUAUUGGACAAUGGGGGAAACCCUGAUCCAGCCGACGCCGCGUGAGUGAAGAAGUAUUUCGGUAUGUAAAGCUCUAUCAGCAGGGAAGAUAAUGACAGUACCUGACUAAGAAGCCCCGGCUAACUACGUGCCAGCCGCGGC